rnacentral:rRNA from 1 species
UGGGGAAUUUUGGACAAUGGGCGAAAGCCUGAUCCAGCAAUGCCGCGUGUGUGAAGAAGGCCUUCGGGUUGUAAAGCACUUUUGUCCGGAAAGAAAUCCUUGGCUCUAAUACAGUCGGGGGAUGACGGUACCGGAAGAAUAAGCACCGGCUAACUACGUGCCAGCAGCCGCGGUAAUACGUAGGGUGCAAGCGUUAAUCGGAAUUACUGGGCGUAAAGCGUGCGCAGGCGGUUUGCUAAGACCGAUGUGAAAUCCCCGGGCUCAACCUGGGAACUGCAUUGGUGACUGGCAGGCUAGAGUAUGGCAGAGGGGGGUAGAAUUCCACGUGUAGCAGUGAAAUGCGUAGAGAUGUGGAGGAAUACCGAUGGCGAAGGCAGCCCCCUGGGCCAAUACUGACGCUCAUGCACGAAAGCGUGGGGAGCAAACAGGAUUAGAUACCCUGGUAGUCCACGCCCUAAAACGAUGUCAACUAGUUGUUGGGGAUUCAUUUCCUUAGUAACGUAGCUAACGCGUGAAGUUGACCGCCUGGGGGAGUACGGUCGCAAGAUUAAAACUUAAAU